GAUGAACGCUGGCGGCGUGCCUAAUACAUGCAAGUCGAGCGAACAGAUAAGGAGCUUGCUCCUUUGACGUUAGCGGCGGACGGGUGAGUAACACGUGGGUAACCUACCUAUAAGACUGGGAUAACUUCGGGAAACCGGAGCUAAUACCGGAUAACAUUUGGAACCGCAUGGUUCUAAAGUGAAAGAUGGUUUUGCUAUCACUUAUAGAUGGACCCGCGCCGUAUUAGCUAGUUGGUAAGGUAACGGCUUACCAAGGCAACGAUACGUAGCCGACCUGAGAGGGUGAUCGGCCACACUGGAACUGAGACACGGUCCAGACUCCUACGGGAGGCAGCAGUAGGGAAUCUUCCGCAAUGGCGAAAGCCUGACGGAGCAACGCCGCGUGAGUGAUGAAGGGUUUCGGCUCGUAAAACUCUGUUAUUAGGGAAGAACAAAUGUGUAAGUAACUGUGCACGUCUUGACGGUACCUAAUCAGAAAGCCACGGCUAACUACGUG
rnacentral:rRNA from 1 species